rnacentral:tRNA from 1 species
ACUGAAACCAAAAAGAGGUAUAUUACUGUUAAUAAUAUUAAUGAAAUAUUCCA